GAUGAAGAACGUAGCGAAAUGCGAUAAGUAAUGUGAAUUGCAGAAUUCAGUGAAUCAUCGAAUCUUUGAACGCACCUUGCACCCUUUGGUAUUCCGAAGGGUAUGCUCGUUUGAGUGUCAUUGUACUCUCACACUUCUAAUUCCUUUCGGGAUUGGGAGCGGUGGACUUGGGUGUUGCUGCUUUAGUUGUGGCUCACCUCAAAUAAGUUAGUGCAACUCUUGGUUGGACAUAGUACGGCGUGAUAAGUGUCUUCGCCGGAGCCUCUGUAAGGAGGGUGGCCGAUCGGGAGCUCUGUGCUUCAAACCGUCUUCGGACAAUCUUUGACAACUUGACCUCAAAUCGAGUAGGACUACCCGCUGAACUUAAGCAUAUCAAUAAGCGGAGGA
rnacentral:misc_RNA from 1 species